rnacentral:misc_RNA from 1 species
GAUGAAGAACGCAGCGAAAUGCGAUAAGUAGUGUGAAUUGCAGAAUUCAGUGAAUCAUCGAAUCUUUGAACGCACAUUGCGCCCCUUGGUAUUCCAUGGGGCAUGCCUGUUCGAGCGUCAUUUCAACCCUCGACCUCCCCUUGGGGAGGUCGGCGUUGGGGACCGGCAGCACACCGCCGGCCCUGAAAUGGAGUGGCGGCCCGUCUGCGGCGACCUCUGCGUAGUAAUACAGCUCGCACCGGAACCCCGACGCGGCCACGCCGUAAAACACCCAACUUCUGAACGUUGACCUCGAAUCAGGUAGGACUACCCGCUGAACUUAAGCAUAUCAAUAAGCGGAGGA